UUUGUUUGGUAUUAUUAUCAUUUAAAACAGGGAUCUGACUCUAUUAUUUUAUAGCUGACAUGUUCAUGCAUGUUUAUUCAUGUAUAUCUUCGUAUAGAUAAAGCUGUGGUUCAGUAUAAUUUGAGCAAUAUGGAGAUCUGGUACAGUAAAAUUGGUACUGUCAAUGGCAUUGCAAACAAAGCAAAAUUUAAAGUAAUUGCAGCC
rnacentral:lncRNA from 1 species